rnacentral:rRNA from 1 species
UACAGACUCCUACGGGAGGCAGCAGUGGGGAAUAUUGCACAAUGGGGGAAACCCUGAUGCAGCGACGCCGCGUGAGCGAUGAAGUAUUUCGGUAUGUAAAGCUCUAUCAGCAGGGAAGAAAAUGACGGUACCUGACUAAGAAGCCCCGGAUAAGUACGUGCCAGCAGCAGCGGUAAUACGUAGGGGGCAAGCGAUAUCCGGAUUUACUGGGUGUAAAGGGAGCGUAGACGGCGGUGCAAGCCAGAUGUGAAAGCCCGGGGCUCAACCCCGGGACUGCAUUUGGAACUGUGUUGCUAGAGUGUCGGAGAGGCAGGCGGAAUUCCUAGUGUAGCGGUGAAAUGCGUAGAUAUUAGGAGGAACACCAGUGGCGAAGGCGGCCUGCUGGACGAUGACUGACGUUGAGGCUCGAAAGCGUGGGGAGCAAACAGGAUUAGAUACCCUUGUA